rnacentral:rRNA from 1 species
CCGCGGUAAUACUUAGCGGGGCUAGCGUUGUUCGGAAUUACUGGGCGUAAAGGGUGCGUAGGCGGUUCUCUAAGUCCGGUGUGAAAUCCCCGGGCUCAACUCGGAAGCUGCCUUUGAUACUGGAGAGCUUGAGUGCGGGAGAGGUGAGUGGAAUUCCCGGUGUAGAGGUGAAAUUCGUAGAUAUUCGGAAGAACACCUGUGGCGAAGGCGGCUCACUGGACCAUUACUGACGCUGAGGCGCGAAAGCGUGGGGAGCAAACAGGAUUAGAUACCCUGGUAGUCCACGCCAUAAACGAUGAAUGCUUGCCGU